AGAAAUUACAAGACAGGCUGCUUUUUUGGAGCCAUUCAUUACGAGRCUGACAAGAACUGAUUAUAAUGAAUGAAUGGAGAGCAGCCCUUAAGAGGACCUGCCACCCAUCCUGUUGGCAUCUGAGCUCUACAGCAGGCCCUGAACAGAUCCAUCAAGUGACUGGUGGAGGCAGCAUUUUGGCAGGCGUGCCCGAUGUGCAGAUGAAAUUUGGCUUACCACCCUGGUUUCCUUGCAAACACCCUUGACGGCACCUUUGSCAGAGCACAGGAUAAUUACGGUGGUGCCGUGUAGUGUUCAUGCCGAAAGGAGC